GCUUGCUGGGUGGAUUAGUGGCGAACGGGUGAGUAACACGUGAGUAACCUGCCCCUGACUCUGGGAUAAGCGUUGGAAACGACGUCUAAUACUGGAUAUGAUCACUGGCCGCAUGGUCUGGUGGUGGAAAGAUUUUUUGGUUGGGGAUGGACUCGCGGCCUAUCAGCUUGUUGGUGAGGUAAUGGCUCACCAAGGCGACGACGGGUAGCCGGCCUGAGAGGGUGACCGGCCACACUGGGACUGAGACACGGCCCAGACUCCUACGGGAGGCAGCAGUGGGGAAUAUUGCACAAUGGGCGAAAGCCUGAUGCAGCAACGCCGCGUGAGGGAUGACGGCCUUCGGGUUGUAAACCUCUUUUAGUAGGGAAGAAGCGAAAGUGACGGUACCUGCAGAAAAAGCACCGGCUAACUACGUGCCAGCAGCCGCGGUAAUACGUAGGGUGCAAGCGUUGUCCGGAAUUAUUGGGCGUAAAGAGCUCGUAGGCGGUUUGUCGCGUCUGCUGUGAAAUCCCGAGGCUCAACCUCGGGCUUGCAGUGGGUACGGGCAGACUAGAGUGCGGUAGGGGAGAUUGGAAUUCCUGGUGUAGCGGUGGAAUGCGCAGAUAUCAGGAGGAACACCGAUGGCGAAGGCAGAUCUCUGGGCCGUAACUGACGCUGAGGAGCGAAAGCGUGGGGAGCGAACAGGAUUAGAUACCCUGGUAGUCCACGCCGUAAACGUUGGGCGCUAGAUGUAGGGACCUUUCCACGGUUUCUGUGUCGUAGCUAACGCAUUAAGCGCCCCGCCUGGGGAGUACGGCCGCAAGGCUAAAACUCAAAGGAAUUGACGGGGGGCCCGCACAAGCGGCGGAGCAUGCGGAUUAAUUCGAUGCAACGCGAAGAACCUUACCAAGGCUUGACAUACACCGGGAAACGGCCAGAGAUGGUCGCCCCCUUGUGGUCCGGUGUACAGGUGGGUGCAUGGGUUGUCGUCAGC
rnacentral:rRNA from 1 species